rnacentral:misc_RNA from 1 species
GAUGAAGAACGUAGCAAAAUGCGAUAAGUAAUGUGAAUUGCAGAAUUCAGUGAAUCAUCGAAUCUUUGAACGCACAUUGCGCCCGCCAGUAUUCUGGCGGGCAUGCCUGUUCGAGCGUCAUUUCAACCAUCAAGCCCCCGGCUUGUGUUGGGGACCUGCGGCUGCCGCAGGCCCUGAAAACCAGUGGCGGGCUCGCUAGUCACUCCGAGCGUAGUAAUACAUCUCGCUCAGGGCGUGCUGCGGGUUCCGGCCGUUAAAAAGCCUUAUUUACCCAAGGUUGACCUCGGAUCAGGUAGGAAGACCAGCUGAACUUAAGCAUAUCAAUAAGCGGAGGA